rnacentral:rRNA from 1 species
GAUGAACGCUGGCGGCGUGCCUAAUACAUGCAAGUCGAGCGAACGGACGAGAAGCUUGCUUCUCUGAUGUUAGCGGCGGACGGGUGAGUAACACGUGGAUAACCUACCUAUAUGACUGGGAUAACUUCGGGAAACCGUAGCUAAUACCGGAUAAUAUUUUGAACCGCAUGGUUCAAAAGUGAAAGACGGUCUUGCUGUCACUUAUAGAUGGAUCCGCGCUGCAUUAGCUAGUUGGUAAGGUAACGGCUUACCAAGGCAACGAUGCAUAGCCGACCUGAGAGGGUGAUCGGCCACACUGGAACUGAGACACGGUCCAGACUCCUACGGGAGGCAGCAGUAGGGAAUCUUCCGCAAUGGGCGAAAGCCUGACGGAGCAACGCCGCGUGAGUGAUGAAGGUCUUCGGAUCGUAAAACUCUGUUAUUAGGGAAGAACAUAUGUGUAAGUAACUGUGCACAUCUUGACGGUACCUAAUCAGAAAGCCACGGCUAACUACGUG